AAGAACCUUACCUGGCCUUGACAUGCACUAGACAGACGCUGAAAGGCGUUCUCCCUUCGGGGCUGGUGCACAGGUGCUGCAUGGCUGUCGUCAGCUCGCGUCGUGAGAUGUUGGGUUAAGUCCCGCAACGAGCGCAACCCUUGUCCUUAGUUGCCAUCAUUUAGUUGGGAACUCUAAGGAGACCGCCGGUGACAAACCGGAGGAAGGUGGGGAUGACGUCAAGUCAUCAUGGCCCUUAUGACCAGGGCUACACACGUGCUACAAUGGUAGGUACAAAGGGUCGCGAAGCCGCAAGGUGGAGCCAAUCCCAUAAAGCCUAUCGUAGUCCGGAUCGGAGUCUGCAACUCGACUCCGUGAAGUCGGAAUCGCUAGUAAUCGUAGAUCAGCAUUGCUACGGUGAAUACGUUCCCGGGUCUUGUACACACCGCCCGUCACACCAUGGGAGUUGAUUGCACCAGAAGCAGGUAGCCUAACCGCAAGGGGGGGGCCUACCACGGUGUGUUCAAUGACUGGGGUGAAGUCGUAACAAGGUAGCCGUA
rnacentral:rRNA from 1 species